ensembl:lncRNA
AUGGAUGGGUACUGGAGGUCAGCACAAGACAUGCUGCGCAGGAUCAACCAGCUGGAGAGACAACAGGCUCAGGGAGCUGAGGAAGAGUGGGAGGAGGACACACCGAACCCCCCAGACCAACAGAACCCUGCAGGAUUGGGGAGGAAGGAGCUCCUCUCACCCAUAUCCCUCCCCCCAACCCCUGACCACAUCUCCUUACCAUACCAGGAGAGGAGAGGAGGAGGAGAUAAGAGUUGUGAGGAGAGUUGGAGAGGAGUAGAGUGGAGGGGCCAACAGAUAAGAUAUGGAAGGGGAGGAGAGAAAGGAGAGGAGAGGGCAAUGGAUGGCGAGAGAGAGACCCCUGUCCUGCCUGUCUUAGCGAGGGUGGGUAGAGAUGGAGAGAGAGUGAAGCGAGACCAGAGAGAGGAGAAUCAACCCACAAACAGAGGGCAUGACCUAAUGCGUGUAAGGAGAUUCCAAGCCAAUGAGGAGCCGCAGAAACACAGCCGCAGCAGCAGAGAGCGAGAGAAGAGGACCCGCACACACUCUCUCACACAUCAAGAGAGGGAGAGCGACAGGGCAGCACACAGAAACACACUGGCAGAACAGGAAAGACGCACCACGCUGCACACACUUGGAAAUACACAAAGAGAGAAGAAAAGGGACAGGGGCUCGGCAGCUAUGAGAAACACUUAUCCUCUCUACACGAACACACUGGCAGAGAAAGGCAAAACCACACAGACCGAGAACUGCCGAGACGAGCACCCUGGGAGGAAACGGCAGACUGUGUCAGCCACGGGCCAUGCUGGACUUGGUACAGCUGGUGUCGUGGGGCAGCCCAGUGGUGGAGAGGAUGAGCGGUGUUCUGUAUGUCUGGGGACGGGAACACUGGUCACCUCUUCCUCCAGGCCACUAGAGGGACACUCCCAGACACACACACACAGCCAAGUGUUCAAGUGCCCAGCUCCAGGCAAGUCAGGUUUGGGCAGGCAGAAGAAACGGUUGGACAAUGAAGAUGUCCUCUCUGUGUGUUCUGAGCUGCUGGACAGUGAGAUCUGUAAAAUAAUGGAGACUCCAGCCACCACAUAUAAACCCACCUAUAGGUGCUCAGGCUGUGGGUUGCGGUUCAGUGAGGUGACCAGCCGGUCAUUCCCUGUCCUCCAGAGGUCCUGUCCUCACAGCUGUGACCUGCACAUGGUGCUGCAGCAGGCCACACACAGCUACACAAAGUGCCUCCGAGAAAUAUGCAGGAGGAGAGACGCACACACGACCAAGCAGAGAGAGAGAGGGAUGCAGAGUGUCUCGGAUAACUGCAGAGAUGCCAGUCUAACUCCUAUCCAUAAAGGAACCCUGCUGAAGAGCUUCUCAACCCACAGAGGACAAUACAGAAAUGACCACAACCAUGUGAGUCUCACCCCUCUAAAGAAGCGUAGUCCAUAUGGAGAUAUCACCCUGACUCCAGUGCGUAGAGGUGGUCUGACGAGGAGCGUCUCCUCUGUCACCAGCAGGGGGCAGGAGAGAGGAGAUGUUAGUCUCACUCCCUUGAAGAAGGCUCGGCCCUCUGAAGACAGGAGAACAGAUCAUAUGGGGAAGAUGGUGCCAUUGAUGAUCAGCAGGAGACUGUUCAUGGGAAAACCCUCUCUGACUAGGGAGAGGAGGAAAUUCAGCCGUGACGAGGAGCGUUACCUGUGUCGAGGUUUGGUCUAUCCUGGAACACCAUCCUGUGGUCCUAUCCCUUCCAGCCGGGGCGCACCAAUGUAGUUCUGGCCAGGACAUACAAACACCUGCAGGCUAAAUUCCAGGGUAUGGAUUCAACCUCUCCCUGAGAUCCCGAGAAGAACACACUGAUUUGUCUAUUGUACAUCACAGUAAUAUAUUUGAAAUACUCUAAUUUAAUAUUGAGUAAUAGUUUUGAAGUACUUACAUUUAAUCCCCAGUUUGAAAUUGUUAACUUCUAUUUUGUACUACUGUAAGUAAACCACAUGAAGAUGUAUUUGAAAUGCAUUAAUUUAAUACUCAUUGAGGAUUAAUGACCGAUCUGUUCUGUAUUCCUCAACCUUGUUUUUUACGCAGCAGUAUUGUGGUGCCUAUGUGAAGUAGUUGAAUAUUAUUUGGAAUAGAAAAAUGGAAAUGAUUAAUGUAACUCACUUGACAUUUUUCAAAAUUUUGUUCACUGUUCAUGUAUGUCUUGAGAUUGAGAUGGUUGUUCACUUGUCAUCUCCUGAAGUUGUUUCUGUUGAAUUAAACAGAAGGGUGUCCUAUAUGCAGCAAUGUCUCAUUGCUACUCUCACACCAUGCGUUUUCAUUCAGGGACCCUAGAGGCGUCAGGGAAUGAACAACAAUGAUUUUUAUUUACUGACUUGAGUUUAAGAACUGCUUUCUCUACUUCUAGAGAGUUGAUCAUGUUUGUCCCUCAAGGAGAAGGGCUUUCUACAGCUUGUUGUUACACUGAAUAAAAAUAUAAAUGUAACAUGCGACAAUUUAAAAUAUUUUACUGAGUUACAGUUCAUAUAAGGAAAUUAGUGAAUUGAAAUAAAUUCAUUAGGCUCUAAUUUAUGGAUUUCGCAUGACUGGGAAGACAAUGUGCAUCUGUAGGGGCGUGGAUCAGAAAACCAGUCAGUAUCUGCUGUGACCACCAUUUGCCUCAUGCAGCACAACACAUCUCCUUCGAAUAGAGUUGAUCAGGCUGUUGAUUGUGGCCUGUGGAAUGUUGUCCUGCCUCCUUCAAUGGCUAUGCGAAGUUGCUGGAUAUUGGCGUGAACUGGAACAAGCUGUUGUAAUGUAGAUCCAGAGCAUCCCAAACAUGCUCAAUGGGUGACCGUGUCUGGGUAUGCAAGCCAUGGAAGAACUUGGACAUUUUCAACUUCUAGCAAUUGUGUGCAGAUCCAGCACUAUCAUGAACCAUGAGCUGAUGGCUGUGGAUGAAUGUCACAAUAAUGGGCCUAAAGAUCUCGUCACUGUCUCUGUGCAUUCAAAUUGCCAUCGAUAAAAUGCAAUUGUCCGUAGCUUAUGCCUGGCCAUACCAUAACCAAACCGCCAUCAUGGGGCACUGUUCACAACUAUAUCAGCAAACCGCAGGCCCACAUGACACAAUACACACUGUCUGCCAUCUAUCCAGUAUAGUUGAAACUGAUUCAUCCGUCAAGCGCACACUUCAGAGUGCCAGUGGUUAUUGAAGAUGAUCAUUUGCCCACUGAAGUUGGUUAAGACUGCCGAACUGCAGUCCGGUCAAGACCCUGGUGGGGACGACGAGCAUGCUGAUGAGCUUCCCUGAGACUGUUUCUGACAGUUAGUGCAGAAAUUCUUCGCUUGUGCAAAACCAGCUGUCCGAGUGGCUCGUCUCAGAUCAUCCCGCAGGUGAAGAAGCCGGAUGUGGAGGUUCUGGGCUGGCGUGGUUAAGCAUGGUCUGCGGUUGUGAGGACGGUUGGGGGUACUGCCACAUUCUCUAAAAUGAAGUUGGAGGUGGCUUAUGGUAGAGAAAUUAACAUUCAAUUCUCUGACAACAGCCCUGGUGGACAAACAUUCCUGCAGUCAGCAUGCCAAUUGCAUACUCCCUCAACUUGAGACAACUGCAUCAUUGUGUUGUGUGACAAAACUGCACAUUUUAGUGGCAUUUUAUUGUCCCGAGCACAAGGUUCACCUGUGUAAAUGAGCGUGCUGUUUAAUCAGCUUCUUGAUAUGUCAUACCUGUCAGGCGGCAGGUAGCCUACUGGUUAGAGCGUUGGACUAGUUACCGAAAGGUUGCAAGAUCGAAUCCCCGAGCUGACAAGGUCUGUCGUUCUGCCCCUGAACAAGGCAGUUAACUCACUGUUCCUAGGCWGUCAUUGAAAAUAAGAAUUUGUUCUUAUCUGACUUGCCUAGUUAAAUAAAGGUAAAAGAAAAAAAAAGGUGGAUGGAUUAUCUAGGCAAAGGAGGAAUGCUCACUAUCAGGGAUGUAAACAAGUUAGUGCACAACAUUUGAUAGAAAUAAGAUUUUUGUGCCAAUGAACAUUUCUGGGAUCUUCUAUUUCAGCUCAUGAAACGUUUAAUGUUUAUAUUUUUGUUCAUAGAUAUUAGAGUUUGAGACAAUUUUCUGCAGUCCAUGAUUAUGGGUGUGUGAGUGUGGUUUAAACAUGCAUGAAACAUAGGAGACUGAAUGGGAGAAGAAAAGGUAUGUGAAAAUGCAGAGUAAAAACAACAGCAGGAGCUCAUACUUUUCUUACAUGGAGUUUUACCAGCAAUUGGACUUUGGUUCUGAUCGCUAGUGAGAAGAACCUGUUGAGUCAAACUUCUGUUCAAUACUCCUGUG